rnacentral:rRNA from 1 species
AUUGAACGCGGGCGGCAGGCUUAACACAUGCAAGUCGAGCGGGGUGAUGGUGCUUGCACUAUCACUUAGCGGCGGACGGGUGAGUAAUGCUUAGGAAUCUGCCUAUUAGUGGGGGACAACAUCUCGAAAGGGAUGCUAAUACCGCAUACGUCAUACGGGAGAAAGCAGGGGAUCACUUGUGACCUUGCGCUAAUAGAUGAGCCUAAGUCGGAUUAGCUAGUUGGUGGGGUAAAGGCCUACCAAGGCGACGAUCUGUAGCGGGUCUGAGAGGAUGAUCCGCCACACUGGGACUGAGACACGGCUCAGACUCCUACGGGAGGCAGCAGUGGGGAAUAUUGGACAAUGGGGGGAACCCUGAUCCAGCCAUGCCGCGUGUGUGAAGAAGGCCUUAUGGUUGUAAAGCACUUUAAGCGAGGAGGAGGCUCUUUUGGUUAAUACCCAAGAUGAGUGGACGUUACUCGCAGAAUAAGCACCGGCUAACUCUGUGCCAGCCGCCGCCGUAA